rnacentral:lncRNA from 1 species
AUAUCCAACUAUAUUUAGCUAUAAUGAACAAGUAUAUCCCCUCAUAGGAUAGGGAAAAAUCAUAUCAACUUUUAUCUAACUUGAGGUGCCAACAGACAUAAAAUGGCAAAGAUUUAUUUCCCAAAUGUUGAUCAUUUUCAUUAAAUACAUUUCAGCUAAAUUGCUUCUGACCCUGCUAAAUAUAGCAAAAGGUCCUUUUUUGUGUUACUGCAUUAGGAGGUCAGGUUUCAAACGUUCCCUUUCCACAGCAGACAAAGGCUUGUUUAGCUUAUAUUUGUUUUUAGCAUUGGACAUAACUCGAAAGAAAGGUCGAAUAAAUUGAGAAAGAGCAGAACUCACAAACCUGGAGAUGGCUAGCUACGUUAUGUCUCGUUAUUCCCUCCACUUUCAUCAGCUCUAGUAUUCGAGAAGGAAUGGCUUGAUCAAUACCAAGUUGCUCUACUGCUUGAACAAACUUCUUGUGUAGUUCAGGUGACCAAUCUACCUGAAUCAGAAAAAGAUACCAAACUUUCCCCUAUAUCAAUUGAUUCAAACUCCCGCAUAUGCAGGAUAAUUUGACCACUGCUCAGUCAGCAAUACUAGAGGUUGAAAUCCCAAGACAAAUCUAGGUAGAGAGAAAGAGAAACCAAACUUAUUCCCCUGAAAUCCUAGAACAAAAUGAGAGGAAGCUAACCAACUUCUAGGAGAGACAUAAUUGACUGCAUUGAUCUUGGUAGCUACACCACCCACGGAAUUUAAAGAACCUAAAGGAGCAUGAGUCAUAUAUUCUGCGGAACGCCGUUCCUGCCAAGGUUGUAUGUGUUUUUUCAACCUACUCAAGUCUAACCCAUUUGGACCCCUUAGAGGCUCUAACCAUGGAGCACGCAGAUCCCAAAAACGCAUAGUUUCUCCUCCAAUUGCAUGUCUUUCUUCAACCUACUCAAUUGAUUCAAACUCCCGCCUAUGUAGGAUAAUUUGACCACUGCUCGGGAACUAUAUUAGAGGUUGAUAUCCUCAAGACAAAUCUAGCUAGAGUAUAUACUGAUUCCUAUAUUUCAUGCACUGUUUGAAAAGUUAAAACUUCAAGAUAACAAAAUUAGCACCGAAUUCAUCUCACAGGUGCUAUAAGCAGAAUCCUGAAAGAUCCACUACAAUUGAUAAAUCAUAGACAAUUUGAAGAGGAUGUUAUAUGAUGUCCAUAA